AGAGUUUGAUCCUGGCUCAGGACGAACGCUGACGGUGUGCUUUAGGCAUGCAAGUCGAACGAGAAAGCCCUUUCGGGGUGAGUAAAGUGGCGAACGGGUGAGUAACACGUGGGCAACCUGCCCCUCGCAGGGGGACAACCGGAGGAAACUCCGGCUAAUACCCCGUACGCUUGUUGGGUCGCAUGGCUCGGCAAGGAAAGGUAGCUUCGGCCAUCCGGCGAGGGAUGGGCCCGCGUUGCAUUAGCUAGUUGGUGGGGUAACGGCCUACCAAGGCGACGAUGCGUAGCUGGUCUGAGAGGAUGAUCAGCCACACUGGGACUGAGACACGGCCCAGACUCCUACGGGAGGCAGCAGUCGGGAAUCUUGCGCAAUGGGCGAAAGCCUGACGCAGCAACACCGUGUGAGCGACGAAGGCCUUCGGGUCGUAAAGCUCUGUUGUUGGGGACGAAGGGUUAGGGGUUAAUAGCCCCGAGCCUGACGGUACCCUUCGAGGAAGCCCCGGCUAACUACGUGCCAGCAGCCGCGGUAAUACGUAGGGGGCGAGCGUUGUCCGGAAUUAUUGGGCGUAAAGAGCGUGUAGGCGGUUCGGUAAGUCUGCUGUGAAAUCCUGGGGCUCAACCCUGGGCGUGCAGCGGAUACUGCCGGGCUAGAGGGUGGUAGAGGCGAGUGGAAUUCCCGGUGUAGCGGCGAAAUGCGCAGAUAUCGGGAGGAACACCAGUAGCGAAGGCGGCUCGCUGGGCCAUACCUGACGCUGAGACGCGAAAGCGUGGGGAGCGAACAGGAUUAGAUACCCCAGUAGUCC
rnacentral:rRNA from 1 species